rnacentral:rRNA from 1 species
UACGUAGGUGGCAAGCGUUGUCCGGAUUUACUGGGCGUAAAGAGCGCGCAGGCGGUCGUGCAAGUCGCGUGUGAAAGCCCCCGGCUCAACUGGGGAGGGUCACGCGAUACUGCUCGACUCGGAAGGCAGGAGAGGGAAGUGGAAUUCCCGGUGUAGUGGUGAAAUGCGUAGAUAUCGGGAGGAACACCAGUGGCGAAGGCGGUUCUCUGGGACGGUACUGACGCUGAGACGCGAAAGCGUGGGGAGCGAACAGG